CGUACACGGACGAACGACUGGCGGCGGCGCCUAACACAUGCAAGUCGAACGGAGGACAAUUAGGUAGCUUGCUUUGUAUUGUCUUAGUGGCGGACGGGUGAGUAACACGUGAGCGAACCUAGCCUUUCUACGAGGGGGAGUAAACGUUUGGUAAACGAAACGCUAAUACCGCAUGACAUAUCGGUACCGCAUGGCACUGAUAUCAAAGGAGCAAUCCGCUGAAGAUGGGUUCGGCGUCCGAUUAGCUAGAUGCGGGGUAACGGGCCCACCAUGGCGACGAUCGGUAGCCGGACUGAGAGGUUGAUCGGCCACAUUGGGACUGAGACACGGCCCAGACUCCCACGGGAGGCAGCAGUGGGGGAUAUUGCACAAUGGGGGAAACCCUGAUGCAGCGACGCCGCGUGAGGGAAGAAGGUUUUCGGAUUGUAAACCUCUGUCCUCAGUGACGAUAAUGACGGUAGCUGAGGAGGAAGCCACGGCUAACUACGUG
rnacentral:rRNA from 1 species